CGGGGAAACGCAGACUCCCCAUCAGACGGUUCCCGUCCAAGCUCUGC
rfam:Afipia sp. GAS231 genome assembly, chromosome: I